rnacentral:rRNA from 1 species
GAUGAACGCUGGCGGCGUGCCUAAUACAUGCAAGUCGAGCGAACGGACGAGAAGCUUGCUUCUCUGAUGUUAGCGGCGGACGGGUGAGUAACACGUGGAUAACCUACCUAUAAGACUGGGAUAACUUCGGGAAACCGGAGCUAAUACCGGAUGAUAUUUUGAACCGCAUGGUUCAAAAGUGAAAGACGGUCUUGCUGUCACUUAUAGAUGGAUCCGCGCUGCAUUAGCUAGUUGGUAAGGUAACGGCUUACCAAGGCAACGAUGUAUAGCCGACCUGAGAGGGUGAUCGGCCACACUGGAACUGAGACACGGUCCAGACUCCUACGGGAGGCAGCAGUAGGAAAUCUUCCGCAAUGGGCGAAAGCCUGACGGAGCAACGCCGCGUGAGUGAUGAAGGUCUUCGGAUCGUAAAACUCUGUUAUUAGGGAAGAACAUAUGUGUAAGUAACUGUGCACAUCUUGACGGUACCUAAUCAGAAAGCCACGGCUAACUACGUG